UCAAGUAGUAUUCUCUAUUUUGAGAGCAGUUACACAAAGGUUUUAUUUUGCAAUUUAUGUGGUUAUGUUGGAGCUUUCAUUUAGUUUCAUGUUAUAAAUGGGCAUUUUUAGGAACUCAGUGCAAUUGUUCCUGUACGAGAAAAGCAAGCAAUUGUGAAAACCGCAGUCAAUAAGUAUGGAUUAGCAGAGGACACGUCAAGAACUGGGGGAUCAGUCAAUGUAAAAGAAGUUUCAUGUAAUGAAUUAUUCAGCCCAUCUGCAAUUUACAUUGCCGCUGCUCAUGCAUUGAAGCCGACUUACUCAUGAUCAGAGACCUCUUCGACCGUUACUCC